rnacentral:rRNA from 1 species
GUGAGGAAUAUUGGUCAAUGGGCGGGAGCCUGAACCAGCCAAGUCGCGUGAAUGAAGAAGGAUCUAUGGUUCGUAAACUUCUUUUGCAGGGGAAUAAAGUGCAGGACGUGUCCUGUUUUGUAUGUACCCUGAGAAUAAGGAUCGGCUAACUCCGUGCCAGCAGCCGCGGUAAUACGGAGGAUCCGAGCGUUAUCCGGAUUUAUUGGGUUUAAAGGGUGCGUAGGUGGUUUGAUAAGUCAGCGGUGAAAGUUUGCAGCUUAACUGUAAAAAUGCCGUUGAAACUGUCGGACUUGAGUGUAAAUGAGGUAGGCGGAAUGCGUGGUGUAGCGGUGAAAUGCAUAGAUAUCACGCAGAACUCCGAUUGCGAAGGCAGCUUACUAAGCUACAACUGACACUGAAGCACGAAAGCGUGGGGAUCAAACAGGAUUAGAUACCCCGGUAGUCC